rnacentral:rRNA from 1 species
AGCGAACGCUGGCGGCAGGCUUAACACAUGCAAGUCGAGCGCCCCGCAAGGGGAGCGGCAGACGGGAGAGUACCACGUGGGAACAUACCUUUUGGUUCGGAACAACUGAGGGAAACUUCAGCUAAUACCGGAUAAGCCCUUACGGGGAAAGAUUUAUCGCCGAAAGAUUGGCCCGCGUCUGAUUAGCUAGUUGGUGAGGUAACGGCUCACCAAGGCGACGAUCAGUAGCUGGUCUGAGAGGAUGAUCAGCCUCACUGGGACUGAGACACGGCCCAGACUCCUACGGGAGGCAGCAGUGGGGAAUAUUGGACAAUGGGGGCAACCCUGAUCCAGCCAUACCGCGUGAGUGAUGAAGGCCUUAGGGUUGUAAAGCUCUUUUGCCCGGGAAGAUAAUGACGGUACCGGGAGAAUAAGCCCCGGCUAACUUCGUG